GGGCCUGUAGCAUAAUUUGGGAGUGCGUCCGGUUUGCACCCGGGCAGGUGCGCGUUCGAGUCGCGUCGGGUCCACCA
rnacentral:tRNA from 1 species